rnacentral:rRNA from 1 species
CAAUAGCGUAUAUUAAUGUUGUUGCAGUUAAAAAGCUCGUAGUUGGAUUUCUGGUGGGAGCGGCCGGUCCGCCGUAAGGUGUGUACUUGGUUGUCUCCUGUCAUCCUUGUGGGAACUGCUCUGGCAUUAAGUUGUCGGGGUUAGGGAACACAUCGUUUACUGUGAAAAAAUUAGAGUGUUUAAAGCAGGCUUAUGCCGUUGAAUACAUUAGCAUGGAAUAAUAAGAUAGGACUUUGGCGUCUAUUUUGUUGGUUUGCACACCAAGGUAAUGAUUAAUAGGGAUAGUUGGGGGUAUUCGUAUUUGGCCGUCAGAGGUGAAGUUCUUGGAUUGGCCAACGACGAACUACUGCGAAAGCAUUUGCCAAGGAUGUUUUCAUUGA